GACGAACGCUGGCGGCGUGCUUAACACAUGCAAGUCGAGCGAGAAAGCGCCUUCGGGCGUGAGUACAGCGGCGAACGGGUGAGCAACACGUGGGCAACCUGCCCCGGAGACCGGGAUAACGUUUCGAAAGGGACGCUAAUACCGGAUGACGCGUGACCUGCCAAGUGGGUCACGCCAAAUGGUAGCUUAGGCCUCUGCUCUGGGAUGGGCCCGCGCAGCAUUAGCUUGUUGGUGAGGUAACGGCUCACCAAGGCCGCGAUGCUUAGCUGGUCUGAGAGGACGAUCAGCCACACUGGGACUGAGACACGGCCCAAACUCCUACGGGAGGCAGCAGUAGGGAAUCUUCCGCAAUGGACGAAAGUCUGACGGAGCAACGCCGCGUGAGUGAAGAAGGUUUUCGGAUCGUAAAACUCUGUUGUCAGAGAAGAACAAGUCGGAGAGUAACUGCUCCGGCCUUGACGGUAUCUGACCAGAAAGCCACGGCUAACUACGUGCCAGCCGCCGCCGUAAAAC
rnacentral:rRNA from 1 species